UAUAAAGCAUUCAGAAACACUGUAUGCAUUAAAGGGUAAUUCCAAUUGAAAUAAGUGCCUUUUUUUGCAGAACUUUUAUCGAGUAAUAUUAAUUUUCCUUUCAUUUUAAAAAAAUAGUUUUGACUUCUAACCGCUUUUAGAAAUUUAGAGGUUCCAGUAAUAGAGAAAUCAAGUAUGAAACAACUUUAACGUUUAUACUAUUUCCUAAUAAGCGAUACAUACAUUUUUCGGUUACAUUAGACUUUGACCAUUCGAGGCUUUCCGGGAAUCCCAUUAACCUGGCGACUUCUCUGGCGGUAAAAUACCGAAGUUGUAAAGCCAUCCGGUUCCUCUCAAAUUGCUCGUGCGUAUUUUCAUGAUCUGACAUCUGCAAAAUUGAGCCUGCACCUUGUACUAAAUGUGUAUAUCCCCGUGUAAAGCAACAGCAGGAAGAGCUAUCUGGCUUAACUAUAUCAAACUGAUGGCCCCAUUUAUUUAACACAGACUCUAGUACCAUAUAUGAAGACCAAUCUCUUUCUAUCUCCAAAUAAUCUCUUAUUCUUUUUACUUCGCCUUCUUUUUGCGCUACCUCGCUAAAUUGAAAAACAUCAUCAAUACUCCAUUCUCCUUUGAAAUUGAGCCUAGCCAAUCCAUACCAUCUACUGCGAGAAUUAGGAAUGUUGAACUGGUUUGGACUCAAAAUACCUUCAAUUAGGUUGUAACCACAAUUCCUCAAAACUUUCCUGCACUCUUCAGCUGCCUUGCUCUCCUCAAAACCCUGAACAUUCUCAAUUAGAAUGUACUCAGGCAAAUUAUUUACAUGAGGAAGCACAUUUAAAAUAUUUAGAAAUGCUUGGGAACGAGGAUCAAGAAUAUCUUUACGGUUUCCUAUUCUAGUAAAAGGUUGACAACUGGGACUCAUAGUCCAUAAUUUACAGUCAAAUGCAUCAAAAUCCUUGGCCGUUAAAGUUGAAAUAUCCAUCUAUAAGUAUUAAUAUAGUUAUCGAGUAAAUCCUUGAAACAUACGUGUUUAGCAAGUUUUCCAUGAUUGAGGUUAUAAAUUUCAUUUGCCUGUGGGUUGAUAUCUAUUGCACACACAAUAUCAGCCGGUAUAUUUGCCAGGUUCAAUGCAUAGUGCAUACCUCCAAUACCAGAAUAUAGCUCCAGGACCCGUAAUCUUUUUGUACUAAGCAUUGAAUGUAACCGAGCAUGCAACACUCGGUAAUCGUUUAGUGAGGGUUACAAAAGACCUACCUGCAUUAGAUUUUUUGCUUGGAUUUGUUAAGCUUGAAAAGUCAUGAGCAUUUCGGGCCUUUUCAAAAACGAUAAAAUGUUUUUUAGUAUUAAAAGUAAUUAAUAUACAACAUGAUGACUUAAACAAAACUGUACGUCUUUUUGAAGCUAACUAAAUGAGAUCUUUUAAAAGUUUGUCCAUUAUUGUGAAACAUAAAUUCAUUAUGAUUAUAUACAACCAAAUCGCCUUUAAAACUAAUUUUCCUUUUCCACUCUUUUACCGCUUAUGUCGUUUUUGCGUCUUUUGCAAUUCUUCUAUAUUUUCUGGCUUGAAAUAAUGGGGGCUUAUUUCCAAGAGCCACUCGGGUUGUAUUUCAGUAAUUUGUCUGCAAUACUCCUUAGUUGUCAAAACCAAUUCAAAGUAAAUGAUGACUUUUGGCUUUUUCUCAGCUACAGAAGAACUAGGGUGAAUAUAAACGGUUUGAUUACUUUUAACAGUGCGAUAAGAAUCCCCACUACGAUCCAAGCGUGCAGCAUUAGAAAAAUAACCAGCUGUGAUAGCUUUCUUAAUAGGAUCAAGGGACUCUGAAGAAUUAGUUACCAAUUCAAUUUCCACCCGUUCACAGAGAUUGGCAAGUUGAUCACGAACAUCUCGAGCUCGACAUAAACUCUUAUACUGUAAAAAGUUUUCACGGGCCCAAUUGUACGAAAAGUCAGUAUCUACCCAUUCAUUCCAAAUAUGAAGAAGAGUUAAAUGAUCACCACCAGGUUGGGUAAAGUUCGCUCUAGCUUUAUCCGCUUCCAUUAUUUUGUCUUUUGGUCUAUAGAAUAAAGAGGAAGCCUCCCCUAACAUAGAAACAAUUGAUAACACUUCUUCAACACAUCCAUACUUUGAAGAUGCAAUCAAAGAUUUAGAAAGCAUAGGAUCUGUAGGAAACUCUGCCAUCUGCCUGCCGAGCUUAGUCAAUUCUCCUCUAUUGUUUAAGGCACCAAGCGCAUACAAUAACUCUAAUGAACGCAUCAACGUUUCAGGUGGUGGAGCAUCCAUGAAGUCGAAAUCUAAAAGAUUAUUAAUUCCUAGGGAUUUAAGCAAGAGAACAAUAUUUGUCAAAUUUGUUCUUUGAAUUUCAGGAGAUGUUACCAUAUCCAGUUCAUUGUUAUAUGUCCGACGCGUAUAUAAACGGAAGCACUUUCCAGGUCCUACUCGACCAGCACGGCCGGCACGCUGAUCAGCAGAAGCACGGGAGCAAGGCACAGAUACUAAGCUUUCCAUACCAGUCCUUGGAUUAUACAUGUUUUGUUUGACAAAUCCAGAAUCAAUCACAAAAUUCACUCCGUCAAUUGUUAUAGAAGUUUCAGCAAUAUUGGUUGCUAAUACAACUUUGCGGGCACCAGGGGGUGUAGGAUCAAAAAUUUUAGCUUGCAAUUCAGAAGGCAGAUUGGCAUAAAUCGGACAUAAAAUUAUUUCCGGAAUUCUUUUUCCUAGUAUCCGACAAAGUUCUUGCAUGUUUUCGGACAUUAAUUCAAUUUCAUCUUGGCCCGUUAAAAAAACUAAAAUAUCACCAGCAGGCUGGGUAGUAUGUAUUUGAAGAAUGGUUGUAAUAGCCGCUUGUAUAUAAUUUGCUUCAGGUUGCGGGGUGUAAUAAAUAUCGACUGGAUAUCUUCUGCCAGGAACAUAGAACACUGGAGCUUCAUCAAAGUAAGCCGAAAAUUUUUCGGCAUCUAUAGUAGCACUCGAAAUUAGAACCUUUAAAUCUGGACGAAAUCUAGCAAUAUCCUUUACAAGUCCAAAUAAAAUGUCUGUAUGAAGCGUUCUUUCAUGGGCUUCAUCUAUAAUAAUGACAGAAUAGCUUGCCAGGUCAGGUUCUGUUAAAAAUUCUCUGAGAAGCAUGCCAUCAGUCAAGUAUUUUAUGACAGUUUUUUCAGAAGUAGCAUUUUCAAAACGAAUGCUGUACCCAACUUCCUGUCCAAGCCGUACAUCCAUUUCCUUGGCAACCCUAGCAGCAACAGACAUUGCAGCAACUCUUCUUGGUUGGGUGCAGCAAAUUUUCUUAUUUCCUUUAGUAUAACCAGCUUCGUGCAGAAAUUGAGGAAGUUGAGUUGUUUUACCAGAUCCGGUCUCAGCCACAAUAAGCAACACUUGGUACUCAUUUAUUGCCUUCAAAAGAUCGUCCUUGUAUUGAUAAACAGGUAAACUUUUGCGAGAACUUUCUAAUGAUUUUUCAACUUUAACAUCAGUCAUCUUGUCAGUGUCAACAGGAUUCUCCGCAGAAAGCUUAGUAUCGAGUAAAAAAUCAAUCUGUUGCGAUUCGUCAAAUACGAAAUCAAAUUGCUUCUCUCCUGGAGGAAGCCAUUCGUUUUGAUCAAAAAGUAAUGCUUUAUUUAUUUGUUGAGCCUCCCACCGCUGUUGUUCGGCAGCUCCCAUCGUAACCUCGUUUUGCUCACCUUCAUUACUAUCCUUAUACCUUUGAUAUAAGACCUCCUCUUUUCGUUUUCUGUCCAAUUUUCCUUGCUCUGUAAAAUAGUCUUCAGGCAUUUGAUAUUCAGUGGCUUGUUUUUCCAAUCUCUGACGUUCUUCAGCAAUUCGAAGUAGUUCUUUUUUCUUUUCAAGCUCUCUAAUUUCUGCUUGCGUCAACUUCUCGCCUGCAAAAAGUUGCUCCUCAUCUCGAAUUUCUCUGCGAAGGAUUUCCAACUGUUGCUGAGCCCUAGGUUUAAGAUAUUGUUGCCGCGAUUUUUUUCGAAGUUCAGAAGCAAGUUUUCUCCAUGAUUCAGGAUCAUCUGCUAGUUUUCUAAGAGCUAGCUCUUCCGAAGAAAAUUUGGAUGAAUAAUCCUCCACAAAUUCAUUUGUUGCGGCUUCAAGGUCUUUACGUCUAAGACGCUCUUCAAAUUCUUCUCUUUCACGUAAAUCAUUGAGUCUUUCUGUCUCAGGAUCUGAGCUUUUUUCAUAAUCAUGAUUUUGAAAAUCGGUAGAAACUGAAUCUUCUUCUAUAGGAUGACUAGCACUUCCAUCCACUACCUCCUCAUACUCGUCACUCUCCCACUCAUCCUCAUCUCGUUGUCUCCUGGCUAUUUCUCGCUUAGGAGUUUUAGAACGGCUUUUUUUCUUCAAAGGCUUCCCAGGCGUCUCAUGAGAUUGAGGUUCUAUCAACAAAUCAUAACUUGAAUUCAAACGCUCCAUUUGUAAAAUCCCCUGUUCUUUUUUCUUUCUUGCAUUGUAGUUUUCUUUCGGUCUUGAGCCUUCUCUGGGUAUUCUAGCAUAAAGCGUAUGAGCAAAUUCUUUAACCGCAGGAUCAUCACCAUCCAUACCAAAACUGACGAGUUUCUGAUACAGGUUAUUAGAACUUGAAGAGCCCUUCGCUUCUGCAAUUAGGUAUUCUACCACGGAAGGUUCCGACAUUCCCAGUAGCGAAAUCGCUUUGUCAGACACAUAUUGCUCUAAAGACAUUUUGUAGGCGCAACCAGAAUAAUAUCACCAAAAAGCAAUGAAGCUAUUUUUGAAUAUAAACC
rnacentral:lncRNA from 1 species